rnacentral:rRNA from 1 species
AGCAGCCGCGGUAAUUCCAGCUCCAAUAGCGUAUAUUAAAGUUGUUGCAGUUAAAAAGCUCGUAGUUGAAUUUCGGGAUUGACACAUCGGUCGUGCCCUAAGGGGUAUGAACUGGUGUAGUCAAUUUCUCACCUUCUGGGGAACCGCGCUGUCCUUAAUUGGGUGACGCGGGGGACCAGGACCUUUACUUUGAAAAAAUUAGAGUGUUUAAAGCAGGCAUUUUGCUUGAAUACAUUAGCAUGGAAUAAUAAAAUAGGACGGCAUGAUUCUAUUUUGUUGGUUUCUAGGAUCACCGUAAUGAUUAAUAGGGAUAGUUGGGGGCAUUAGUAUUCAAUUGUCAGAGGUGAAAUUCUUGGAUUUAUUGAAGACUAACUACUGCGAAAGCAUUUGCCAAGGAUGUUUUCAUUAAUCAAGAACGAAAGUUAGGGGAUCGAAGACGAUCAGAUACCGUCGUAGUCUUAACCNUAAAACUAUGCCGACUAGGAAUCAGACGAUGUUAAUUUUUUAAUGACUCGUUUGGCACCUUUACGG